GAUCUUCAAAGAGUUGUAUGGAAGUACUUUAGACUCAGAUGAAGUUCUGGCUGUCGUUAUCCGAAAUUAAUAAACAAUUGUAGCUAUUCCUUUUGUAUGGUUCAGGGUUUCAAUGCCUUGAGACCUUCAUUUCAUGGCUGCCGGUAUCUGAAGUUAAUAAACAGUUAUAGAUAUUCCUGUUGUUGCAUUGUGUUGAAAGUGUUUCGUUAAACAUUCUUUCAGUGGAUAUUUUAAGGGGGUUCUAGCAUUUGGUUUUGGAGUAUAAAUCUGAUCUCUACAUGUUGAGAGAGAGCUUUUUGACACGAUUUGGGUGCUGGGGAAAUUAGGAUUGAGCAACUAAAUGUAAUCUUCUUGCUGAUUGUGAAUUUAAUGUCUUUACUUGAGUGGAUGGCUGGAUGCCCAAACUCACCUUAGUGAUGUAACAACAUGGGUGCUGUUUGGCCUGCGAUUGCUCGCAUCCCUGAUGUCCAUCUCAUUCACGUAUAAGUUGCUGCCUACCUUAUCAUG
rnacentral:misc_RNA from 1 species